rnacentral:rRNA from 1 species
GCAGCCACUCAUUCAAAGAGUGCGUAAUAGCUCACUGGUCGAGUGAUCCUGCGCCGAAGAUUUCCGUCCCUACAACUUACUACCGACGCUACGGCAUCCGUAAUGAUGGGUAGGGGAGCUUCCCAGACGGGUUGACUCAUGCCCGUACGGACCUGUGGCCAGUAUGGGAGUGAGAAUGUUGGCAUGAGUAGCGAGAUGUGGGUGAGAAUCCCACAGGCCGUAAACCCAAGGUUUCCAGGGGAAGGUUCGUCCGCCCUGGGUUAGUCGGGACCUAAGCUGAGGCCGAAAGGCGUAGGUGAUGGACAACAGGUUGAUAUUCCUGUACUACCGAUAACCGUUUGAGAGAAGGGAUGACACAGUAGGAUAAGCUAAGCACACUGUUGGUUAUGUGUGCCCAAGCAUUGAGGCAGUCAAAGUAGGCAAAUACGCUUUGAUAAUGCUGGGAUGUGAUGGGGAGCGAAAUUUAGUAGCGAAGUAGCUGAUUUCACACUGUCAAGAAAAGUCUCUAUCGAGGUUAAAGGUACCCGUACCGCAAACCGACACAGGGGGGUGAGGAGAGUAUCCUAAGGCCAGCGAGAGAACGGUGGUUAAGGAACUCGGCGAAAGGACCCCGUAACUUAGGGAUAAGGGGUGCCACCAUCAGGUGGCCGCAGAGAAUAGGCCCAAGCGACUGU